rnacentral:lncRNA from 1 species
UAGCUAACACUUUCCCACUCCUUAGUGUAACUGCUUUCACGUGCUCUUUUGGGUUGGGUUCAGUGUUACUAGGUAGACUUCUUGGUGGUCUUUCAGAUAUCAAUUUAGCGAUCUGACCUAUCUGAGUUUCGAGCCCUCGGAUCGACGCUUGUUGAUUUUUAAGUGCUGUCUCGGUAUUCUGAAAAUGAGUUUCUAACACUGAGAUGAAUUUUGUUACCAUCUCCUCAAGGUUUGACUUUUUCUCUGGUUGGUAGGGUGGUUGUUGAAAGC